UACGUAGGGUGCGAGCGUUAAUCGGAAUUACUGGGCGUAAAGCGUGCGCAGGCGGUUUUGUAAGCCGGAUGUGAAAUCCCCGGGCUUAACCUGGGAAUGGCAUUCGGGACUGCAAGGCUUGAGUGCGGCAGAGGAGACUGGAAUUCCUGGUGUAGCAGUGAAAUGCGUAGAUAUCAGGAGGAAUACCGAUGGCGAAGGCAGGUCUCUGGGCUGACACUGACGCUCAUGCACGAAAGCGUGGGGAGCAAACAGG
rnacentral:rRNA from 1 species